rnacentral:tRNA from 1 species
GGUCGGGUGGCCGAGUGAUCAGGCAGAGCUCUGCAAAAGCUUGUACGGCGGUUUGAAUCCGUCCUCGACCU